rnacentral:rRNA from 1 species
AGGAUGAACGCUGGCGGUGUGCCUAAUACAUGCAAGUCGAACGAGACCUUCGGGUCUAGUGGCGGACGGGUGAGUAACACGUUGGUACCUACCCCUAAGUGGGGAAUAACUGCCCGAAAGGGUGGCUAAUACCGCAUAAUCCCGCAAGGGUAAAGCAGUAAUGCGCUUAGGGAGGGGCCUGCGUCCCAUUAGCUUGUUGGUAGUGUAAUGGACUACCAAGGCGACGAUGGGUAGCUGGAUCGAGAGGUUGACCAGCCACACUGGGACUGAGAUACGGCCCAGACUCCUACGGGAGGCAGCAGUAAGGAAUCUUCCACAAUGGACGAAAGUCUGAUGGAGCAACACCGCGUGCAGGAUGACGGUCUUCGGAUUGUAAACUGCUUUUAUAUGGGAAGAUUAUGACGGUACCAUAUGAAUAAGGACCGGCUAACUACGUGCCAGCAGCCGC